UGAGGUCAGUUCCAAUGUUACAAGUUCCCCCUUCCUCAGCCAUUCCCUUGAGGUCAGUUCCAGCAAUGUUACAAGUUCCCCCUUCCUCAGCCAUUCCCUUGAGGUCAGUUCCAGCAAUGUUACAAGUUCCCCCUUCCUCAGCCAUUCCCUUGAGGUCAGUUCCAGCAAUGUUACAAGCUGUCCCUUCCUCGGCCAUUCCCUUGAGGUCAGUUCCAGCAAUGUUACAAGCUCCCCCUUCCUCGGCCAUUCCCUUGAGGUCAGUUCCAGCAAUGUUACAAGCUCCCCCUUCCUCGGCCAUUCCCUUGAGGUCAGUUCCAGCAAUGUUACAAGCUGUCCCUUCCUCAGCCAUUCCCUUGAGGUCAGUUCCAGCAAUGUUACAAGCUGUCCCUUCCUCAGCCAUUCCCUUGAGGUCAGUUCCAGCAAUGUUACAAGCUCCCCCUUCCUCGGCCAUUCCCUUGAGGUCAGUUCCAGCAAUGUUACAAGCUCCCCCUUCCUCAGCCAUUCCCUUGAGGUCAGUUCCAGCAAUGUUACAAGCUCCCCCUUCCUUGGCCAUUCCCUUGAGGUCAGUUCCAGCAAUGUUACAAGCUCCCCCUUCCUUGGCCAUUCCCUUGAGGUCAGUUCCAGCAAUGUUACAAGUUCCCCCUUCCUCGGCCAUUCCCUUGAGGUCAGUUCCAGCAAUGUUACAAGUUCCCCCUUCCUCAGCCAUUCCCUUGAGGUCAGUUCCAGCAAUGUUACAAGCUCCCCCUUCCUCGGCCAUUCCCUUGAGGUCAGUUCCAGCAAUGUUAUAAGCUCUCCCUUCCUUGUUUAUACUGGUCUGUGGGCCUCGGUGCCAUGAAAACCCUCACCUCACCUCGCUUUUCACAGGGCCACAGAAACUCGUCUUCCCACGCUUUCUCGCUCCCUGGGUGGUGGAGGAAGAUAUGAGGAGGCGGAACAUCACGUAAGAAAUGGCUAUGGACUGGCAAGGGGAGGGUAUCAGGUCACCUCUCCUUCCAAAACUGACCUUUCUUUCAGCCACCUGUUUUAAUUCUUUUUUGGGAGCAGCGAGUGGCGGGCUUUUUUUUAUUAUUGUUUUCUUUUUUUGUGUGUCCUUGAGUUCCCUCCUUUGUUGGGAAAGAAAAAGUGGAGGAGGUUCAUCAUAUCCCGUCCAACCAUAAGGAAUAAAUGGAUGUUAAACGAUGAUGCUGAUGAUGAUGAUGGUGAUGAUGUGUGGCUGCAGGCUCAAGUAAACAGUUUAUUCAUUAGUCUCUCCCCUUCUCGGCCAUUCCCUCCAGUGCAGUUGUUAGCAUUUCUAGUUACGAAUCUGUGGCCGAGGGUUCGAAUCCCAGCCUGGUAAGUCAAGUGUGCAACUCACCCAAAUGUUGGUCCUCCCUUUGUGUCCAGGGGUAAUUGUGCACCUGUGGACCCCUGGGUAAGGCACACUGUGGUAACCUGGGUGUCCCCGCUGCCCUGUGUCCUGGGGUGAUGGGAUCCUGCCUACCCCCCGGCGGAGAGGAUCACCCAGGACCCCAACUUUACUUUUGAACUAAAAUAAUACAAAAUCAACUCAAAUACUGCACAAUACAACUAGGUAACACACACACACCCACACACACACACACACAC